UACGUAGGGUGCAAGCGUUGUCCGGAAUUAUUGGGCGUAAAGAGCUCGUAGGCGGCUUGUCGCGUCGACUGUGAAAACCCGUGGCUCAACCAUGUGGUCUGCAGUCGAUACGGGCAGGCUAGAAUUCGGUAGGGGAGACUGGAAUUCCUGGUGUAGCGGUGAAAUGCGCAGAUAUCAGGAGGAACACCGGUGGCGAAGGCGGGUCUCUGGGCCGAUACUGACGCUGAGGAGCGAAAGCGUGGGGAGCGAACAGG
rnacentral:rRNA from 1 species